UGGGGAAUCUUGGACAAUGGGGGCAACCCUGAUCCAGCCAUGCCGCGUGGGUGAAGAAGGCCUUAGGGUUGUAAAGCCCUUUCAGUCGUGACGAUGAUGACGGUAGCGACAGAAGAAGCCCCGGCUAACUCCGUGCCAGCAGCCGCGGUAAUACGGAGGGGGCAAGCGUUGUUCGGAUUUACUGGGCGUAAAGGGCGCGUAGGCGGACGGUCAAGUCAGAGGUGAAAGGCCCGGGCUCAACCUGGGACGUGCCUUUGAAACUAGGUAGCUAGAAUACUGGAGAGGUGAGUGGAAUUCCGAGUGUAGAGGUGAAAUUCGUAGAUAUUCGGAAGAACACCAGUGGCGAAGGCGACUCACUGGACAGUUAUUGACGCUGAGGUGCGAAAGCGUGGGGAGCAAACAGGAUUAGAUACCCCCGUAGUCC
rnacentral:rRNA from 1 species